rnacentral:rRNA from 1 species
UUGUCUCAAAGAUUAAGCCAUGCAUGUCUCAGUACAAGCCAAAUUAAGGUGAAACCGCGAAAGGCUCAUUAAAUCAGUUAUGGUUCCUUAGAUCGUACCCACAUUUACUUGGAUAACUGUGGUAAUUCUAGAGCUAAUACAUGCAAACAGAGCUCCGACCGGAGACGGAAGGAGCGCUUUUAUUAGAUCAAAACCAAUCGGUGGCGGACGGUAAAACGUUCGUCAUCGUAUACUCUGGUGAUACUGAAUAACUUUUUGCUGAUCGCACGGUCUAGCACCGGCGACGCAUCUUUCAAAUGUCUGCCUUAUCAACUGUCGAUGGUAGGUUCUGCGCCUACCAUGGUCGUAACGGGUAACGGGGAAUCAGGGUUCGAUUCCGGAGAGGGAGCCUGAGAAACGGCUACCACAUCCAAGGAAGGCAGCAGGCGCGCAAAUUACCCACUCCCGGCACGGGGAGGUAGUGACGAAAAAUAACGAUACGGGACUCAUCCGAGGCCCCGUAAUCGGAAUGAGUACACUUUAAAUCCUUUAACGAGGAUCAAUUGGAGGGCAAGUCUGGUGCCAGCAGCCGCGGUAAUUCCAGCUCCAAUAGCGUAUAUUAAAGUUGUUGCGGUUAAAAAGCUCGUAGUCGAAUUUGUGUCCCGCGCCGCCGGUUCAUCGCUCGCGGUGUUUAACUGGCGUGCUCGCGGGACGUCCUGCCGGUGGGCUUAGCUGCGGUCGGCUGGCGUGCGUUCUCGCGUCGUACGGUGCGGUGGCGUCAGUGCGUUUCGUUCGCUCGCGCGGCCCCAAAAGGGUCGCGUGCUGUCGUUCGUUCGUCGGCGUCACGGCCUACGUCUGUGGUCGUAUCGUCCACGUCCGACGUUGUCGGCGGCCCAAAUUGAAAUCCCACCGCGGUGCUCUUCAUUGAGUGUCGAGGUGGGCCGGCACGUUUACUUUGAACAAAUUAGAGUGCUUAAAGCAGGCUAAAAUUUCGCCUGAAUAUUGUGUGCAUGGAAUAAUGGAAUAGGACCUCGGUUCUAUUUUGUUGGUUUUCGGAACCCCGAGGUAAUGAUUAAUAGGAACGGAUGGGGGCAUUCGUAUUGCGACGUUAGAGGUGAAAUUCUUGGACCGUCGCAAGACGGACAGAAGCGAAAGCAUUUGCCAAAAACGUUUUCAUUGAUCAAGAACGAAAGUUAGAGGUUCGAAGGCGAUCAGAUACCGCCCUAGUUCUAACCAUAAACGAUGCCAGCUAGCGAUCCGCCGACGUUCCUCCGAUGACUCGGCGGGCAGCUUCCGGGAAACCAAAGCUUUUGGGUUCCGGGGGAAGUAUGGUUGCAAAGCUGAAACUUAAAGGAAUUGACGGAAGGGCACCACCAGGAGUGGAGCCUGCGGCUUAAUUUGACUCAACACGGGAAACCUCACCAGGCCCGGACACCGGGAGGAUUGACAGAUUGAGAGCUCUUUCUUGAUUCGGUGGGUGGUGGUGCAUGGCCGUUCUUAGUUGGUGGAGCGAUUUGUCUGGUUAAUUCCGAUAACGAACGAGACUCUAGCCUGUUAACUAGGCGUAAUAUCGACAUCUCAAAGGCCCGCCGGUCGUGGUCGCGUUCGCGCGCGUCGCGGCCGUGCGCGGUUUUUACUGUCGGCGUAUAAAUAAUUCUUCUUAGAGGGACAGGCGGCUUCUAGCCGCACGAGAUUGAGCAAUAACAGGUCUGUGAUGCCCUUAGAUGUUCUGGGCCGCACGCGCGCUACAAUGAAGGAAUCAACGUGUCUUCCCUGGCCGAGCGGUCCGGGUAACCCGCUGAACCUCCUUCGUGCUAGGGAUUGGGGCUUGCAAUUGUUCCCCAUGAACGAGGAAUUCCCAGUAAGCGCGAGUCAUAAGCUCGCGUUGAUUACGUCCCUGCCCUUUGUACACACCGCCCGUCGCUACUACCGAUUGAAUGAUUUAGUGAGGUCUUCGGACCGGUACGCGGUGGCGUUUCGCGCGUUGCCGAUGUUGCUGGGAAGAUGACCAAACUUGAUCAUUU